UACGAAGGACCCAAGCGUUAUCCGGAUUUAUUGGGUUUAAAGGGUGCGUAGGCGGGUUGUUAAGUCAGUGGUGAAAGCUCCGAGCCUAACUCGGAAACUGCCAUUGAUACUGAUGAUCUUGAGUACAUUUGAGGUGGGCGGAAUGUGUCAUGUAGCGGUGAAAUGCUUAGAGAUGACACAGAACACCGAUUGCGAAGGCAGCUCACUAAACUGUAACUGACGCUGAGGCACGAAAGCGUGGGGAGCAAACAGG
rnacentral:rRNA from 1 species